rnacentral:lncRNA from 1 species
CCUCCCCUUCUCUCCUUAUGCCCAUGGCCGGCCUCCUUUGUUCCUCCCUUCUUCUAUUCUUCUCCUGUCAUUAAACCUCUCCAUGUGGAACCAUGUGGGCUUGACGCUGCCUCUGCCACACCAACCACAACAUCCGACCAGCAGCAGCAGCAGCAGCAGCAGCAGCAGCAGCAGCAGCAGCAGCAGCAGCAGCAGCAGCAGCAGCAGCAGCAGGCCUCCCCAUCGCUAUGAGGUCCUCCUUACAGCUGCCCACCAAGGAGAGUGCCCUCUUCAAGCACGUGUUGGACUUUGAUCCAGCAUGCUCACACCACCACUGAUGCACAGUGCCUCAGCUGUGUGCACCAGUGUCCCAGCUAUGUGACCACUUGUGCCACUCCCUUGCUCUGCAGAUCUUAAAGAAUGUUCACUUAUAAGCUACAGGAAACCCACUCAGACCUACCUCUCAUGGACUCCACCCAGAUAAGUACAUCUGUUUAAAGUUCCCACUUACUACCUAUUCCAAAGGGUAAGAUUCCUCUGGAUUUCAAAUGGACAUCUGAAAAAUGUUUUCUUUUCUCCCAAAUACACUUAAUUUUAUUCUCUGCCUCUAAUAAAUAUAUGUGUGUAUUGCAGAAUCUUGUCAGGUCCAGGAGCUUACUACAGUUGGGACAGCUCCAAGGAAACGACCUUCAGAUGUUCUGAUCUCCUCUCACAGACAUAGACACUUCUAUUAGACCUGUUCCCUCUGACAUAUCUUCAGAUGGUUCCACAGACCCUGGACAACAAGGAAACAGACGACAACCCUAUUCCUGCUCCACCAUCGCCUCUACAUUUUCUUUUUAAUUAAACCAAGAUGGGGGAAUGUUGGUAUUCUGUCUAAGCUCCACCCCCACAGCUAACUGGGAACAGCCAGAUAUGCUCCGCCCCAGUUGCCUAGCAACAGUCAGCUGUGCCUCACUAUAUAAGGGGUUACUUGCCUUCUCCUCCCUCUCUUGCUCUUGCUUCUCUGCUCUCUUCCUCUCCGUCACUGUCCCUUCUUUCCCCAUCCCUCCUCCCUCUACAUGCCCAUGGCUGGUUUCCUUUGUUCCUCCCUUUUUCUACUCUUCUUCGGUCAUUAAACCUCUCCAUGAGGAACCGCGUUG